UACGUAGGGUGCGAGCGUUGCCCGGAUUUAUUGGGCGUAAAGGGCGCGUAGGCGGCUCGGCACGUCCGUUGUGAAAUCGCCCGGCUCAACUGGGCGGGGUCAGCGGAUACGGUCGAGCUUGAGCAAGCUAGGGGGCAAUGGAAUUCCCGGUGUAGUGGUGGAAUGCGUAGAUAUCGGGAGGAACACCAGUGGCGAAGGCGGUUGCCUGGAGCUUUGCUGACGCUGAGGCGCGAAAGCGUGGGGAGCGAGCCGG
rnacentral:rRNA from 1 species